rnacentral:rRNA from 1 species
UACGGGGGGGAGCAAGCGUUGUUCGGAUUUACUGGGCGUAAAGGGCGCGUAGGCGGCCAGCACAAGUCAGUUGUGAAAUCUCCGAGCUUAACUCGGAAAGGUCAACUGAUACUGUGCGGCUAGAGUGCGGAAGGGGCAACUGGAAUUCUUGGUGUAGCGGUGAAAUGCGUAGAUAUCAAGAGGAACACCUGCGGCGAAGGCGGGUUGCUGGGCCGACACUGACGCUGAGGCGCGAAAGCUAGGGGAGCGAACGGG